rnacentral:lncRNA from 1 species
UGAGUCAGCAGGUGCUACUAUUCGAUCGAAAAUCAUCAAUUCAACAGAAAAAAAUAAGAAAAAAACGGAAACACCUUUGGAUUUUCUCUCUCUAACUUUGUUCUUUCCAAUCUCGAAAUAUCAACCAACAAUUUUCACACUAAUCAGCCGCCAAUUUGAGGUCGUUUACUCUCACUCUAUAUGCUCUCUCUAUCUGUAUAUAUGUAAAUGUGAAUAUGGAAAUAGUGUAAACGCGGAGUUCCUGGGUUUUUGGGAUACAUUAUUUAAUUUAAAAUUGUUUGAAUAUUUUUGGACUCGUAUUUGUUAAGUAAGCCUGUAGCGUGAAGUUUCUUUACUUUGAAGAUCAUAUUUUGAUUCGAUUCGAUUCAUUUAAUGAGAUAUUUGAAAUGUUAAUCCGAUAGUUUUGGUUUUCCGGGGUCUAUCCUUUGUACACCCCUGAAACUAUAGUCUCUAACGGUCACUUCGCUGCUUGUCGCUGGGAGAGGAAAAACAACUUGUGAGUCUUUGUUUAAAAAUAUUUUUUCCAUUAAUUUAAUUAAUUAUUAUUAUUAAUUAAUUUUUUUUUUUUGGGGUUUUGACAAAGAUGAUUCCGUUUUACUAAGAGUUGGAAAACUUCAAGAAAUUAGCAUUAUCUCGAAGAUAAUCUUGAGAUUUUUUUUUUCAUUAUUAUAUAUAUAUAUAUAUAUAUAUAUAUAUAUAUAUAUAUAUAUAUAUUUUUUUUUUUGCAGAACGAUUUAAUGAAUUUGCGAGUCUCUACUCUUUCAAUCUGUAAGAUUUUUGAAAUGUAAUUUUGCUCUUGAGCAAGAUAAAUUUCAAGAAAUAUUAUAUUCAGGAAACAAUCUUGGGAUUUAUAUUUAAUUUAAGAUACAGAGAAACAAUCUUGGGAUUUAUAUUUAAUUUAAGAUACAGAGUUUACCAAAUCUGAAAUGGGUUUAAAAUUUACAGUUAUUAUCUUAAUCUUUCUUGGUUUGAGUGAUUUUUUAGCGGACUGACAUUUCUUUUUUGAAAUAUGGAAAGAGAUAUAUUAUUUAUUUCUUUGUAUUCAGAAACUAACUAAUAGUGUUUGGUGAAAUAAGUAAAUUGUAAGCACAAACCAAGAUGCUCCUAAAAAAGUGUAGGUGGUGUUUGAAAGUAUAAAGACAAGGUGGAUGAGAAGAAUUGAGGGUAUGAUGGUCUUUAAGCCCCAGGAAUCAUAAUAACAUCUUAUAACACAAAUACUUUUCUAAUCAUGGGUCAGAAACACGUUGAUUAAUUAUACUUUUAUACAAGAGAGUGUCAUGAUUCCUGCUAGCGGUAAAGGAGGUCACUGAAAUCAAUGCUUUACUUGGAAAAGAAUUUAUUAAUUAUUUUGGACUAUGCUUUUCAGUUUUUUAGUUUACAUGUACUGUAGCAGCACUGUAGCAGGAAGUUAGAGGAUGUGAACUUAUCAAGCUGCUCUUAUUGUACUCCAGUUUCAUUGCUUUAUGUUUUGCUGAGCGUGGUUGCAG